rnacentral:rRNA from 1 species
UACGUAGGGGGCGAGCGCUGUCCGGAUUUAUUGGGCGUAAAGAGCUCGUAGGCGGCUUGGCAAGUCGGGUGUGAAACCUCCAGGCUCAACCUGGAGACGCCACUCGAUACUGCUAUGGCUAGAGUCCGGUAGGGGACCACGGAGUUCCUGGUGUAGCGGUGAAAUGCGCAGAUAUCGAGAGGAACACCUGCGGCGAAGGCGGGUAGCUGGGCCGACACUGACGCUGAGGCGCGAAAGCCAGGGGAGCGAACGGG